CGUCCUUUACACAUGCAAGUCGAACGGUAACAGGUCUUCGGAUGCUGACGAGUGGCGAACGGGUGAGUAAUACAUCGGAACGUGCCCGAUCGUGGGGGAUAACGGAGCGAAAGCUUUGCUAAUACCGCAUACGAUCUACGGAUGAAAGCAGGGGACCGCAAGCCCUUGCGCGGACGGAGCGGCCGAUGGCAGAUUAGGUAGUUGGUGGGAUAAAAGCUUACCAAGCCGACGAUCUGUAGCUGGUCUGAGAGGACGACCAGCCACACUGGGACUGAGACACGGCCCAGACUCCUACGGGAGGCAGCAGUGGGGAAUUUUGGACAAUGGGCGAAAGCCUGAUCCAGCCAUGCCGCGUGCAGGAUGAAGGCCUUCGGGUUGUAAACUGCUUUUGUACGGAACGAAAAGACUCCUUCUAAUAAAGGGGGUCCAUGACGGA
rnacentral:rRNA from 1 species